UACGGGGGGGGCAAGCGUUGUUCGGAAUUACUGGGCGUAAAGGGUGCGUAGGCGGUCCGCUAAGUUGGAUGUGAAAACUCUGGGCUUAACCCAGAGCCUGCAUUCAAAACUGACGGGCUAGAGUUCUGGAGGGGGUAGCGGAAUUCCUGGUGUAGCGGUGAAAUGCGUAGAUAUCAGGAGGAACACCGGUGGCGAAGGCGGCUACCUGGACAGAAACUGACGCUGAGGCACGAAAGCCAGGGGAGCGAACGGG
rnacentral:rRNA from 1 species